rnacentral:snoRNA from 1 species
GCCGAUGAGGAGAAGGCCCGGCACCGAAAGGUGAGGAGGGCCAUCACUUCCGAGG